rnacentral:rRNA from 1 species
CCAUGCGAGUCGAGAGGGUUCGGCCCUCGGCAAACGGCUCAGUAACACGUGGGUAACCUACCCUCAGGACAGGGAUAACCCCGGAAAACUGGGGAUAAUACCUGAUAGGUGGAUAUGUCUGGAAUGACUUUCCGCCCAAAUGCUCCGGCGCCUGAGGAUGGGCCUGCGACCGAUUAGGUCGUUGGCGGUGUAAUGGACCACCAAGCCUGCGAUCGGUACGGGCGUUGAGAGACGUAGCCCGGAGAUGGGGACUGAGACACGGCCCCAGGCCCUACGGGGCGCAGCAGGCGCGAAAACUCCGCAAUACACGAAAGUGUGACGGGGGGACCCCAAGUGCUCUCACGCAAGUGAGUGCUUUUGCGAAGUGUAAAUAGCUUUGCGAAUAAAAGCUGGGUAAGACCGGUGCCAGCCGCCGCGGUAACACCGGCAGCUUGAGUGGUGAUCAUUAUUAUUGGGCCUAAAGCGUCCGUAGCCGGUUUGGUAAGUCCUUGGGCAAAUCCUACCGCUUAACGGUAGGAAUUCUGGGGAUACUGCCAGACUUGAGGCCGAGAGAGGUCGGAGGUACUUCUGGGGUAGCGGUGAAAUGCUAUAAUCCUAGGGGGACCACCAGUGGCGAAAGCGUCCGACCAGAGCGGGCCUGACGGUAAGGGACGAAAGCCAGGGGAGCGAACGGGAUUAGAUACCCCGGUAGUCCUGGCCGUAAACGCUGUGGGCUAGGUGUUGCAUGCUCUACGAGGGCGUGCAGUGCCGAAGAGAAGUUGAUAAGCCUACCGCCUGGGAAGUACUAUCGCAAGAUAGAAACUUAAAGGAAUUGGCGGGGGAGCACCACAGGGGGUGAA